GAUGAACGCUAGCUACAGGCUUAACACAUGCAAGUCGAGGGGAAACGACAUUGGAAGCUUGCUUCCUUUGGGCGUCGACCGGCGCACGGGUGAGUAACGCGUAUCCAACCUUCCCGCAAGUAAGGGAUAACCCGUAGAAAUGCGGCCUAAUACCUUAUGUUUUCCUUAGAGGGCAUCUGAUGAGGAACAAAGAUCCGUCGCUUGCGGAUGGGGAUGCGUCUGAUUAGUUAGUCGGCGGGGUAACGGCCCACCGAGACGACGAUCAGUAGGGGUUCUGAGAGGAAAGUCCCCCCACAUUGGAACUGAGACACGGUCCAAACUCCUACGGGAGGCAGCAGUGAGGAAUAUUGGUCAAUGGGCGGAAGCCUGAACCAGCCAAGUAGCGUGCAGGACGACGGCCCCUAUGGGUUGUAAACUGCUUUUANGUGGGAAUAAAGUGAGGGACGUGUCCCUUUUUGAGGUACCGCAUGAAUAAGGACCGGCUAAUUCCCGUGCCAGCAGCCG
rnacentral:rRNA from 1 species